rnacentral:rRNA from 1 species
AGUUUGAUCCUGGCUCAGAACGAACGCUGGCGGCAGGCUUAACACAUGCAAGUCGAGCGCAUCCUUCGGGGUGAGCGGCGGACGGGUGAGUAACGCGUGGGAACGUGCCUUUUGCUACGGAAUAGCCUCGGGAAACUGAGAUUAAUGCCGUAUGUGCCCUUCGGGGGAAAGAUUUAUCGGCAAGAGAUCGGCCCGCGUCUGAUUAGGUAGUUGGUGGGGUAAUGGCCUACCAAGCCUACGAUCAGUAGCUGGUUUGAGAGGAUGAUCAGCCACACUGGGACUGAGACACGGCCCAGACUCCUACGGGAGGCAGCAGUGGGGAAUCUUGGACAAUGGGGGCAACCCUGAUCCAGCCAUGCCGCGUGAAUGAUGAAGGUCUUAGGACUGUAAAGUUCUUUCAGUGGGGAAGAUAAUGACGGUACCCACAGAAGAAGCCCCGGCUAACUCCGUGCCAGCAGCCGCGGUAAUA